rnacentral:rRNA from 1 species
GACGAACGCUGGCGGCGUGCUUAACACAUGCAAGUCGAACGGAGUGGCGAACGGGUGAGUAACACGUGGGUGAUCUGCCUUGCACUUCGGGAUAAGCUUGGGAAACUGGGUCUAAUACCGGAUAGUGCAAGAUGAGCUCGCGGCCUAUCAGCUUGUUGGUGGGGUAAUGGCCUACCCAGGGGUCGACGGGUAGCCGGCCUGAGAGGGUGUACGGGCACAAUGGGACUAAGGUACGGACCAGACGCCUACAGGGGGCAGCGGUGGGGAAUAUUGCACAAUGGGCGGGAGCCUGAUGCAGCGACGCGGGGUGGGGGAUGAAGGGCUUCGGGUUGUAAACUCCUUUCGACAGGGACGCGGUACCUGUAUAAGAAGCACCGGCUAACUACGUGCCAGCAGCCGCGGUAAUUC